rnacentral:rRNA from 1 species
GUCUAUGGCCACACCACCCUGAGUGUGCCCAAUCUUGUCUGACCUCGGAAGCUAAGCAGGGUUGGGCCUGGUUAGUACUUGGAUGGGAGAAAAAGCACAUGCAAGCACAAGUAUAUAUAUU